ACGCACGCUGGCGGCGUGCUUAACACCUGCAAGUCGGACGGAAAGGCCUCUUUCGGGGGGUACUCGAGUGGCGAACGGGUGAGUAACACGUGAGUAACCUGCCCUUGACUUUGGGAUAACUUCAGGAAACUGGGGCUAAUACCGGAUAGGAGCUCCUGCUGCAUGGUGGGGGUUGGAAAGUUUCGGCGGUUGGGGAUGGACUCGCGGCUUAUCAGCUUGUUGGUGGGGUAGUGGCUUACCAAGGCUUUGACGGGUAGCCGGCCUGAGAGGGUGACCGGCCACAUUGGGACUGAGAUACGGCCCAGACUCCUACGGGAGGCAGCAGUGGGGAAUAUUGCACAAUGGGUGGAAGCCUGAUGCAGCAACGCCGUGUGCGGGAUGACGGCCUUCGGGUUGUAAACCGCUUUCGCUCAUGACGAAGCUUUGUGUGACGGUAGUGGGUAAAGAAGCACCGGCUAACUACGUG
rnacentral:rRNA from 1 species